GCUAGGCGGCCGGAGCCGGCCCGAGCCGGCCCGCGCAGGCCCGAGCUCGCCUUCCGACCCCGGCACGAAGGCGAGGGCGGGCGGAGGCAGGGCCUUUUUCUCCCCUGCACAAUCUAGACGCCGUCCUCCCCCAGCCCAGCCAAGACUGCAUUCUCCGGUACCUGUUGAAAACAAAGAGGAAAAUAUUUAAGAAGGCUAAAUAAAGGAAGGAAAUAAACUAAUUCAAAUGUAAUGAAACCGGGUGCACAUCCUUCUACCAAUGAGGAUAUGGCUCAGUGUGGAUAAGACAGAAUGAAGUAAAACCUUUGGGAACUAACAGAGGACUUUAUUUCUCAGGAAAGGGUUCUGGCCAUAAACUUGAGAGCAGGUGUCUCCCCGUCCUUGUCCUUGCCCGGCUCUCUGGGCGCCUGCAGUGCACAUACAGGAUGACUUAGCAUUCUUAGGCGGAUGCUUCAGAAGACAAAAAGCAGGAAGAGGCGAGUGUGGCGUAACCCUCCGGGGGUUACCUAAAGAUUAGCUGGAAGACUCAUUUCCCCGUCAGUUCAACAAACAAGAAUGGCACGCAGCCAGGGAGGAAGCCUGACUACCAUCAGCUGGAAGGAAAUGACCUUGUACAUGAGACCAUCAGCACAGUGGUGCUCACCCACAUUGCACACUGAUGUAUCACGGAGUGGCUGGACAGGAAGGGAAGAUUAAGCAUAAACGCCCAGCCUGCCGUAUCUAAGCAGCAGUCAUUCUUUUCAGUUACGUGUGUGACUAAUGAGAAUCUCAUCCAUCAGGCAUGUCUUAAUGGCCAAUCCCAAAAGAGCACCACAGAAAGACGUCUACUCUUCUGUCACAUGUGCAAUGGUGGUACUUUUUUCUAGAAUGUUCUCAGAACCUGGAAGAAUGUGGACUGAAAAAUGCUUACCGUGGUAUCCCUAUAUUCAGAAUUUCCUCCAUCGAUGAUGAUGUCACCAGUGUCCAACAAGGGUACCUGUAACCAGACACCAGCAUUAAGGUGGACCAAAAAAAUAAAAGACAAAAAUAAACAUACCUUGACCAAUUAAAGCAAACAAGAAUUUAUCCCAAAUAAACCCUGUCUGAAAGUAUACAUAUAUUAUUUAAUCUUCAACAAUCCUCUCUGGGGCUAGAGCUAGACCCUAUUUAAAAGCUCAGGGCUAGCAAACCCAGUCAG